rnacentral:tRNA from 1 species
GGCUUCGUGGUCGAAUGGUACGGACACUUGCCUCUCACGCAGGAGUCCCGCGUUCGAUUCCUCGGUCGAGGAGCUA